GAAGAGACUCGUCGUGGACGUAGAAGACACAUCACGCAUUUGUAUUACGUCAAGGAUGGCGUCAAGUAUAUGAGACAGAUUUUACGUGCAAGGAACGAGAAGGCAGGGAACGGUGUACGCGGAAGUGAAGGAGAACGCGUCCGGUGGCUACGAAUAUUCAUACCUGUACGUUACGGUGAAUCAUGUCGGAACGAUCGUGGUAGAGGACAAUCAAGAUACGUCUAAAACGCACCAAGCUAACGGAUCCACGAUGGAUUUCAACUUGUUACUGGAUAAUCACUAGGUGUAACUGAUAUACUGAUAACACAGCAUCUAAUGUAGCCUCAGUUUAUGAGCUGUUUCAAAAAUAUCACGCGAUGAGACAUCUCGCGAUGUAUUUUGAAUGAAUCGAUAAUUGCGCAAUAAUUUCUUUAAUUAAUACUUGUAAAUAGCGUUACUAAAAUAUGUAUACAAUGAAAUUUGAUAUAAUAUAAUUUUUAUUUAUUUAUUGUAUGUUUCUAUACACAUCUUUAUUCGGUGUUGAUAACAGAAGAUUGUUAAACGCCGCCAGUUUUAAAAUUUCACCCUUUUUUUAACUACUUUAUUUCUAUAAAUCACAAUUCAAUUAAACAUCCUAAUUCUAGUCAUUGACUAGAAUCUUUUCCUCCAAAAAUUAUGCCAUAGAAAAAUAUGGUUUUCUUACGGAAGUUCAUUUUCCUGAUAUUAUUUCCAUUCGUUAUGACAAAGUAAUAAUUUUUCAGUAAUUAUGCCUUUGAGAGAUUUUCCUAUCCAUUCCUAUUUGUUUGAAUUUCCUAGUUAAGUAUAAUACUGUUCAAAUAGACCGCUAGUAAUGGCCGAAACUGUGCGGCGUUCUCUAUUGGCUGAUCCCAAACUGAAACUCAUGAUGCGCAUUGCCUCA